UCUCAGUGAUGAUCAAAACUUUAUGAUGACGAGUCCGAUCUAAUUAAAUUCUUCGUGACGACAAAUCGAGGCAUUUGUCUGAAAGAA
rnacentral:snoRNA from 1 species